GCAAACGAAAAACGGAAAGAAACAUAAAUGGUGGUAUCCACCCAACCCGCCCCAAAAAUAAAUAAAUAAUACAAUAGCAACUCUAGCAUACCCGAAACCUACUACUCUUUUUUUCCCCCUCCACAAGAAUAAAUAAAUGAAUAAAAUCAAAAGAAAAAGUAAUAGGUCAAACUAACUAAAAGUGACCAAUGUUGACAAGGCACACACUGAGCAAUAACUAUAUAAGCUAAACCAAAAACCGUUAGAGGGGCACAACUUAUAAAGGUCUGACAUAAGAGUGUAUCAUGAAGCUCACCAUAACGUUCAAGUGAUUGUCUGAUUAAAGUUCUCAGCUUCUGUAAGCGUGGCAAACAGCUGUAUUCUUCCUUCGUGUAGGAUUCUCAACUUGCAGGGGUAAAUCUGGAAUCCACGGUAAAGCCCUUUUUCCACAAACUUCUUUCUCACCACGUUGAAGUCGUUGCGUUGGCGCAUGGUUUCGACCGACAAAUCUGGUGCAAAUGUGAGCUUCUUUUCUUCAUGGGUAAUGUUGAGCUGCCUAGCGGUGUGUAGAUCAAAUUGUCUGUCUUGAAACUUCAGAAAUCAAAUGAUCACAGCUUUACGUUGCCCUGGUUUUGGCCGCGCCAGAGUCCUGUGUACACGCCCAAGAAUGAAGCUCCUGUCACUGCCUAGUUUCAACCAUGUUGGUAACUCGUGCUCCACAAACUCGAGUAAGGACCGAUUCAUUUUAGCAUUUUCACGUAGGCCAAACAGACGAAGAUUUUUGUGGCGCCCCUGGUUCUCCAAAUCAUCCGCCUUGGUUUCCAAAAGAGCGAUGCGUUUGGCGGCAGUAGCUAGCUCCGCUUUAGUCACCUCCAAAUCAUCUUCCAGAGAUGAUAUACGCUCCUCGGCUUCACUUAUACGCGUUGUAUUGGAGGCUGCGUUGUUCCUGACCUCAACCAUGCUUUGCCCCAAAGCGUUGAUAGAGUUGUUCAUGUCUUUCAAUUGGCAGUAUUUGGUGUCGAACCUGGAAGCAAAGUCUGAGCGGAGGGCUUUUAGCUCCAUUAGCACAGCCGCCAUGUCUGCCACGCUUUCACAGGCCUCCUCGUGCUCUUCUCCGUGCUGCUUAUUAGAUUUUGGCCUUUGCGUGCCACGAGUCCGGCCAUAGCUUUUACCGCUGGUCGUUGAUGUGGUCUCAGGCAUUUUUCAAAGUUACUCUUACACUUGUUAAAUGUUUUUAUGCGGAGUUGAACGGAGCCUUGAUAUUAUGCUGCCAUCUUGUUUCCCUUAAGCUCCAUGUUAAAUAAAAUACAGUCUCUAUAAAAUAACAUUGACUAAAACUGCAAUAAAAAAAAUGUGUGUGUCUGUGCAAAAGAGUGUGUGAGAUGCAGGAUUGUAAAUUACAACUUGUUUGGAAGCAAAGGCAAGAUUGAGGAGAAUUAAGGUUUGAUCUUGGAAAGUAAAAUGGAAAAACUCCACGAGUAAGUCUACUUCACAGGAAUGCUUUGGGGAUUUAUGUUUUCAUAGUCAACCACCUCAAGGGUGACCACCCGGGGUUAUCACCAGAGGUUGUGGUGCCAAUUCUGCACUCAUUUGUUCAUUGCACCAAGUAUGUAAGGCCCACAGAUGUCCCAGGACCAGGAAGCGGGGAGGAUGAAUGCUCCCCGGGAACCUUCUGUUCAAGCCCAGGGUUGCAGGGGGAACUUUUUAAGAAAUGGACAAAGAACAGGGGAGAAGUUUUUGGCGGCCUUGAGAAAGGGAACAGAUGGGUUGCUCGCAGCUGUGACACCUCUUAAUAAAAUGAGAGUCCUUCCUCCAUUUGGAAGAAGACCAGACUAAAACAUUAGUUUUACAGUGUUCUAGAUAAUAGCACUCCAUUGCAAUGAACCAGAUAAACCCACAUUUUCAGUAUUAUUUUUUUAUUGCAACACGUCAAACAAGUUACCAGGAGAUGCAGUAGAUUCCAGAAAACCAACAAGACAUUCAUGAUAUACACACUUAAUGCUGAGCAACUGGGCAAUUUGUUAAAAGUGGUGUUUAAAAAGAUAGCUGUCUGCCGUUAACUUUACAAACUCAAAACUGUUUUGUACAAACUUUUAUUCAAGGAUUUACGAAUCCUUGGAAUCACUAAACUAAUAUUUAGUUGUCUGACCAGAGUUUUGAAACUGCUUCACAUCUCUGUGGCAUGGAGUCAACCAAUUUGUGUCACCUUUCAGCGGUUAUUCCACUCCCAAGAUUCCUUACUGAUAUUCCACAAUUCAUUUCCGUAUCUUGACUUUGCAUCAGAAAUAGAAUUUUUGAUUUCACCCCACAAAUUUUCAAUUGGAUUAAGGUCUGGGGAUUGGGCUGGCCUUUCCAUUACAUUAAUUUUGUAGGUUUGGAAAAAGACUGCAUGUUUACCAGUGUGUUUGUGGUCAUUGUCUUGUUGAAACACUAUUUCAAGGGGAUGUCCUCUUCAGCAUAAGGCAACAUGUCCUCAUCAAGAAUUUUGACACAUGUAAACUGAUCCAUGAUCCCUGGAAUGUCAGAAUCAGAAUAAACUUUGUUGGCCAAGCGUGUAACAACACACAAGGAAUUUGUCCCUGGCAGUCUGUGCCGUCCUGCUAUGGCAUUCAGAAUAAAGAACAAACAAACUAACAAGAACAAAGAACAAGAGACAUUCAGUUAAUAGGAACUAUUCCUCCUAAGAGUUACAGAUGUGCAAGAUACAGUCUUCUUCAUUUAGAACAUAUAUGAGUGUGUCAACACCCCAUAUUAUGUAAAAGGGUAUGGAAAGUCCUCAAAGCACCUUUUGCUUCUCUUAUACAGUUUUUUUAUUUUAUAAUCUGAAAUCAUUGAUGAAGGAAAUAUUUGUAGUUUUCAAUUAUCAAAAAUUGAUCGCAGAUUUGCUGGAACAAUCCGAGCACACAGUGGGAAAUCCCGAGAAGGGACGUGACGUCAGAACAAGACACAUAAACAUGGCUGCCGUUCGACACCAAUGGAAGAACGACGAUGAAUUUUCCAAUAAUUCGGGCGAUGAACAUGAUUCUGAAGGGUCAAAUGAAGAUUGUGAAGAAUAUGAGCUUUAUAAAAGCUUUAAAGGUUAUCAACAUGCUUUGUGUUGGAAACACUGACUGGUAAGCAUUUGUAAAGUUUUUUUUAUUUAGCCAUACACUGCUAAAUAGAGAUGGCUUUGAUGUCCUGAAUUAAUAUCUGAGAUUUUUGAUCUUGUUUUAAAUUAUGCAAAGGCCAUAUAUUUAAUUGCUAUAUUUUCACAAAUAAGGAUUUUAAUUAACACAAUCAAUUUUGAAAGUUGUCACAUUAAUUUAAGAGCAAUAGCUGGUUAUACCAUAAAUAUAUUUUCAUGUGGUAAAAGUCUUGGAACUUCUUCUGAGAGCCAUAACCAGACAGUACCCAGAAGCGUCCAUGCCCAUUUUAGUCAAUAUUUUCCCAAGAUGUCAUGAGCAAAACCGCAAAACUUUAUCCUGACACCUGUAAACCGGUAUCUUGUGGUUUUGUUUGGGCAAGACAUACUUAAAAUAGAAAUGUAAAUGGGGUGGAUGGUUCUGUGUACUGGACUGAUGUGGGUCUUUGAGCUGUAGAAGUCUGUGAAUGUGAACAGUUUUUAAAAUAUUUUUCCUAUAUCCAUGUGUGCAUGUAAAUGCUGCAUACUCAUGGAAACAAAAGAAUUUUUUUUGUCAUGAGUCAACAUAUUCACCAAAAAAUGUCAGAUUAUACAGACCAUCCGCUGCAGUGCACCCAGGAUUUAUUGCCAGCUGUCUGAUACCAUUGAAACUUGAGGUUGCCUAUCUCCAAUUCAGGCAAAAGUAUCAGCAGCGACUGGAUUUUCCACAACAAGAGACUAAUCGGGAGAAAUGUCCCGACCAACUCUCCAGUUAAAGGGUUAAGCUACCCCUUUACCCCAGCCGACUCUAACACCGUGUGUCCAGGAGGACGGGAGCUUCUUAAGUCAGUGUCGAGACAUCCUGUGUGGUGAUUCGAUUGUGACGGGCUUCCUGUUCAGGAACUCAACAACGCUGCAAACAUCUUGCAAGCCGUGUGCUUCGCCGUUGAAAAACCGUUGGGUGUGAGCUGGGGGCUGCAUCCU